AAGAUUCCCCAAGCUUGCAGAUAUUGGGGCUUAAAGGAAUUCCAGGAUCUGGAGAGAGGAUGAUUUGGAAGAUGAUCUUGCUUCCUCAUGUAUAGAUGGGGGGAAGAAGACACAAUAUUCCAGUUUGAAGUUGGGGCUGACAGGUUGCUGAACUGCGAAUUCUGAUUGGCUUCAUCCUCAGAAUGCCAUGAAUUUACUAGACAAAAGAGAG